GAGUUUGAUCCUGGCUCAGAUUGAACGCUGGCGGCAGGCCUAACACAUGCAAGUUGAGCGGUAGAGAGAAGCUUGCUUCUCUUGAGAGCGGCGGACGGGUGAGUAAUGCCUAGGAAUCUGCCUGGUAGUGGGGGAUAACGCUCGGAAACGGACGCUAAUACCGCAUACGUCCUACGGGAGAAAGCAGGGGACCUUCGGGCCUUGCGCUAUCAGAUGAGCCUAGGUCGGAUUAGCUAGUUGGUGAGGUAAUGGCUCACCAAGGCGACGAUCCGUAACUGGUCUGAGAGGAUGAUCAGUCACACUGGAACUGAGACACGGUCCAGACUCCUACGGGAGGCAGCAGUGGGGAAUAUUGGACAAUGGGCGAAAGCCUGAUCCAGCCAUGCCGCGUGUGUGAAGAAGGUCUUCGGAUUGUAAAGCACUUUAAGUUGGGAGGAAGGGCAGUAAAUUAAUACUUUGCUGUUUUGACGUUACCGACAGAAUAAGCACCGGCUAACUCUGU
rnacentral:rRNA from 1 species